GUAUUGAUUGGUGCUUGCAUCAUGAUUUACAUUUGAGUGAGUGGCGAACUGGUGAGUAACACGUGGGAAACCUGCCCAGAAGCGGGGGAUAACACCUGGAAACAGAUGCUAAUACCGCAUAACAACUUGGACCGCAUGGUCCGAGCUUGAAAGAUGGCUUCGGCUAUCACUUUUGGAUGGUCCCGCGGCGUAUUAGCUAGAUGGUGGGGUAACGGCUCACCAUGGCAAUGAUACGUAGCCGACCUGAGAGGGUAAUCGGCCACAUUGGGACUGAGACACGGCCCAAACUCCUACGGGAGGCAGCAGUAGGGAAUCUUCCACAAUGGACGAAAGUCUGAUGGAGCAACGCCGCGUGAGUGAAGAAGGGUUUCGGCUCGUAAAACUCUGUUGUUAAAGAAGAACAUAUCUGAGAGUAACUGUUCAGGUAUUGACGGUAUUUAACCAGAAAGCCACGGCUAACUACGUGCCAGCAGCCGCGGUAAUACGUAGGUGGCAAGCGUUGUCCGGAUUUAUUGGGCGUAAAGCGAGCGCAGGCGGUUUUUUAAGUCUGAUGUGAAAGCCUUCGGCUCAACCGAAGAAGUGCAUCGGAAACUGGGAAACUUGAGUGCAGAAGAGGACAGUGGAACUCCAUGUGUAGCGGUGAAAUGCGUAGAUAUAUGGAAGAACACCAGUGGCGAAGGCGGCUGUCUGGUCUGUAACUGACGCUGAGGCUCGAAAGUAUGGGUAGCAAACAGGAUUAGAUACCCUGGUAGUCCAUACCGUAAACGAUGAAUGCUAAGUGUUGGAGGGUUUCCGCCCUUCAGUGCUGCAGCUAACGCAUUAAGCAUUCCGCCUGGGGAGUACGGCCGCAAGGCUGAAACUCAAAGGAAUUGACGGGGGCCCGCACAAGCGGUGGAGCAUGUGGUUUAAUUCGAAGCUACGCGAAGAACCUUACCAGGUCUUGACAUACUAUGCAAAUCUAAGAGAUUAGACGUUCCCUUCGGGGACAUGGAUACAGGUGGUGCAUGGUUGUCGUCAGCUCGUGUCGUGAGAUGUUGGGUUAAGUCCCGCAACGAGCGCAACCCUUAUUAUCAGUUGCCAGCAUUAAGUUGGGCACUCUGGUGAGACUGCCGGUGACAAACCGGAGGAAGGUGGGGAUGACGUCAAAUCAUCAUGCCCCUUAUGACCUGGGCUACACACGUGCUACAAUGGAUGGUACAACGAGUUGCGAACUCGCGAGAGUAAGCUAAUCUCUUAAAGCCAUUCUCAGUUCGGAUUGUAGGCUGCAACUCGCCUACAUGAAGUCGGAAUCGCUAGUAAUCGCGGAUCAGCAUGCCGCGGUGAAUACGUUCCCGGGCCUUGUACACACCGCCCGUCACACCUGAGAGUUUGUAACACCCAAAGUC
rnacentral:rRNA from 1 species